UGAUCAAUCAAGCCUGGCUUGGUAUUAGGGCACGCGGUUCCGCGGCCCUUAAAAUCAGUGGCGGCGCCGGUGGGCUCUAAGCGUAGUAAUAAUUUCUCGCUAUUGAGUCUCCUCGGUGGCUUGCCAAAACCCCUUAAUUUCUCAC
rnacentral:misc_RNA from 1 species